UAGCUGUUUGCCUGCUGCCUGCUGAUUAUGUGUAUUUGCAUUCUAAAGCAGUUGUCCUGCUGUCCCCGCUCCCUUCGUCCUUGAGCAGUAAUGGUCGAAAGUGCCAACCAUCACCACCCAACAACUCCCCUCUUGUCUACGCCUUGUUAACGUAAUUUCCAUAAAACAUUUUGUUACUUAUUUAUCUUAAUUAAAAUAAAUUUACAUUUUUCUAAUUUAAGAGCGCGACGAAGGAAAAACAACAACGUCAACUAGUCAGUCGUGGCCCCCAGAAUUCUCCGCCCCACACCCCACAUCCUUGUCUCUCCUUGACGGGCAUUAGAGAGCGACAUUUUCUUAACAAGCCAAAAGGACAUUUGCUGUCCUAUGGGGAGAACGGCGAGCCAUCUCGCAUACACAAAGGUUCCAGGACGAAACAC
ensembl:ncRNA lncRNA:CR45403 long non-coding RNA:CR45403